AUCCUCUCAGAUGAACAGCU
rnacentral:miRNA from 1 species